rnacentral:rRNA from 1 species
AUGGCCGCGCUCUCUCCAGAUUCCCUCCCCCAUGGCCACGGAGACCAUGGCCAUGCAGCCGCCGUGGUGAUUUUCGCACCGACGACGGUGCUGCAAUCAGCACCAGCCGUAGAUGGAGACGAAAGCCCCACUGAUGUUGCAAACCAGCAACUACGACGGUACUGCAACCACUGCUCGUCACCAUGGUCGGACUACAAUCGACCACGACGAUGGUGGAUUUCCUUUUUUUGCUACAACCAUGUGUUGUUUUUGCUGGAACCGGCCCAUGUUUUUGCUACCACCCACCCUCCCAAAAUUUGCUACCAGGUGAUUUUUGCUGCAACCGAUGAACCAUUUUGCUACAACCGUUUCGAUUUUUUGUUACUAUCGGUGUUUGUCGAUUUUUGCUACAUCCAUCUUCUGUUUUUCCUGUCUUUUUUGCUACAACCCUAUUUUGAUUUUGCUGGAAUUGAAGACAUUUUUUGCUACAGCCACCCACAGCGAUGUUGUUCAACGACGGCGAUGCCUUUUUUUGCUACAACCGUCUCGGAUUUUUGCUACUAUUGA